AGAAACACCAGUUCCCAUACAAUCACCAAAGUUAAGCAAUAUCAUACCUGGUCAGUAUCUAGAUGGUUGACCACUUGGGAAUACCAGGUGCUGUAAG